rnacentral:rRNA from 1 species
UACGUAGGGUGCAAGCGUUUGUCCGGAAUUAUUGGGCGUAAAGAGCUUGUAGGCGGUUUGUCGCGUCUGCUGUGAAAUUUCGGGGCUCAACCCCGAACUUGCAGUGGGUACGGGCAGACUAGAGUGUGGUAGGGGAGACUGGAAUUCCUGGUGUAGCGGUGAAAUGCGCAGAUAUCAGGAGGAACACCGAUGGCGAAGGCCAGGUCUCUGGGCCAUAACUGACGCUGAGAAGCGAAAGCAUGGGGAGCGAACAGG